rnacentral:rRNA from 1 species
GCAUAUCAAUAAGCGGAGGAAAAGAAACUAACAAGGAUUCCCCUAGUAACUGCGAGUGAAGCGGGAAGAGCUCAAAUUUAAAAUCUGGCGGUCUUUGGCCGUCCGAGUUGUAUUCUGGAGAAGUGCUUUCCGCGCUGGACCGUGUAUAAGUCUCUUGGAACAGAGCGUCAUAGAGGGUGAGAAUCCCGUCUUUGACACGGACUACCAGUGCUUUGUGAUGCGCUCUCAAAGAGUCGAGUUGUUUGGGAAUGCAGCUCAAAAUGGGUGGUAAAUUCCAUCUAAAGCUAAAUAUUGGCGAGAGACCGAUAGCGAACAAGUACCGUGAGGGAAAGAUGAAAAGCACUUUGGAAAGAGAGUUAAACAGUACGUGAAAUUGUUGAAAGGGAAACGCUUGAAGUCAGUCGCGUUGGCCGGGACUCAGCCUUGCCUUCCGCUUGGUGUAUUUUCCGGUCGACGGGCCAACAUCGAUUUUGACUGCUGGACAAGGGCUAGUGGAAUGUGGCACCCUCGGGUGUGUUAUAGCCGCUAGUCAUAUACAGCAGACGGGAUCGAGGACCGCAGCUUCGGCUUAGGAUGUUGGCAUAAUGGCUUUAAACGACCCGUCUUGAAACACGGACC